rnacentral:rRNA from 1 species
AUUGAACGCUGGCGGCAUGCCUUACACAUGCAAGUCGAACGGCAUCGCGGGAACGCUUGCUUUCCUGGCGGCGAGUGGCGAACGGGUGAGUAACACAUCGGAACGUACCGGCUAGUGGGGGAUAACCCGUCGAAAGACGGGCUAAUACCGCAUACGCUCUUCGGAGGAAAGCAGGGGACCUUUGGGCCUUGCGCUAGCCGAGCGGCCGAUGUCCGAUUAGCUAGUUGGUGGGGUAAAGGCCUACCAAGGCGACGAUCGGUAGCGGGUCUGAGAGGACGAUCCGCCACACUGGGACUGAGACACGGCCCAGACUCCUACGGGAGGCAGCAGUGGGGAAUCUUGGACAAUGGGGGCAACCCUGAUCCAGCAAUGCCGCGUGGGUGAAGAAGGCCUUCGGGUUAUAAAGCCCUUUCGGCAGGGAAGAAAUCGGCGGGGCGAAUAACCCUGCUGGAUGACGGUACCUGCAGAAGAAGCACCGGCUAACUACGUG